rnacentral:rRNA from 1 species
GAACGAACUUCCGUUAUUGAUUAUGACGUACUUGUACUGAUUGAGAUUUUAACACGAAGUGAGUGGCGAACGGGUGAGUAACACGUGGGUAACCUGCCCAGAAGUAGGGGAUAACACCUGGAAACAGAUGCUAAUACCGUAUAACAGAGAAAACCGCAUGGUUUUCUUUUAAAAGAUGGCUCUGCUAUCACUUCUGGAUGGACCCGCGGCGUAUUAGCUAGUUGGUGAGGUAAAGGCUCACCAAGGCAGUGAUACGUAGCCGACCUGAGAGGGUAAUCGGCCACAUUGGGACUGAGACACGGCCCAGACUCCUACGGGAGGCAGCAGUAGGGAAUCUUCCACAAUGGACGCAAGUCUGAUGGAGCAACGCCGCGUGAGUGAAGAAGGGUUUCGGCUCGUAAAGCUCUGUUGUUAAAGAAGAACGUGGGUAAGAGUAACUGUUUACCCAGUGACGGUAUUUAACCAGAAAGCCACGGCUAACUACGUGCCAGCAGCCGCGGUAAUACGUAGGUGGCAAGCGUUAUCCGGAUUUAUUGGGCGUAAAGCGAGCGCAGGCGGUCUUUUAAGUCUAAUGUGAAAGCCUUCGGCUCAACCGAAGAAGUGCAUUGGAAACUGGGAGACUUGAGUGCAGAAGAGGACAGUGGAACUCCAUGUGUAGCGGUGAAAUGCGUAGAUAUAUGGAAGAACACCAGUGGCGAAGGCGGCUGUCUGGUCUGCAACUGACGCUGAGGCUCGAAAGCAUGGGUAGCGAACAGGAUUAGAUACCCUGGUAGUCCAUGCCGUAAACGAUGAUUACUAAGUGUUGGAGGGUUUCCGCCCUUCAGUGCUGCAGCUAACGCAUUAAGUAAUCCGCCUGGGGAGUACGACCGCAAGGUUGAAACUCAAAAGAAUUGACGGGGGCCCGCACAAGCGGUGGAGCAUGUGGUUUAAUUCGAAGCUACGCGAAGAACCUUACCAGGUCUUGACAUCUUCUGACAGUCUAAGAGAUUAGAGGUUCCCUUCGGGGACAGAAUGACAGGUGGUGCAUGGUUGUCGUCAGCUCGUGUCGUGAGAUGUUGGGUUAAGUCCCGCAACGAGCGCAACCCUUAUUACUAGUUGCCAGCAUUAAGUUGGGCACUCUAGUGAGACUGCCGGUGACAAACCGGAGGAAGGUGGGGACGACGUCAAAUCAUCAUGCCCCUUAUGACCUGGGCUACACACGUGCUACAAUGGAUGGUACAACGAGUCGCGAGACCGCGAGGUUAAGCUAAUCUCUUAAAACCAUUCUCAGUUCGGACUGUAGGCUGCAACUCGCCUACACGAAGUCGGAAUCGCUAGUAAUCGCGGAUCAGCAUGCCGCGGUGAAUACGUUCCCGGGCCUUGUACACACCGCCCGUCACACCAUGAGAGUUUGUAACACCCAAAGCCGGUGGGGUAACCUUUUAGGAGCUA